GACGAACGCUGGCGGCGUGCUUAACACAUGCAAGUCGAACGGUGAAGCCUUUCGGGGUGGAUCAGUGGCGAACGGGUGAGUAACACGUGGGCAAUCUGCCCUGCACUCUGGGACAAGCCCUGGAAACGGGGUCUAAUACCGGAUAUGACUUCCUGCCGCAUGGUGGGGGGUGGAAAGCUCUGGUGGUGGAGGAUGAGCCCGCGGCCUAUCAGCUUGUUGGUGGGGGGUUGGCCGACCAAGGUGACGACCGGUAGCCGGCCUGAGAGGGCGACCGGCCACACUGUGACUGAGAAACAGCCCAGACUCCUACGGGGGGCAGGAGAGUGGAUUAUUGCACAGUGGGCGAAGGGCUGAUGCAGCGGCGCCGCGUGGGGGAUGACGGCCUUCGGGUUGUAAACCUCUUUCAGCAGGGAAGAAGCGUGAGUGACGGUACCUGCAGAAGAAUCACCGGCUAACUACGUGCCAGCAGCCGCAGUAA
rnacentral:rRNA from 1 species